rnacentral:rRNA from 1 species
GGAAUAUUGCACAAUGGGGGAAACCCUGAUGCAGCAACGCCGCGUGAGUGAAGGAGUGUUUCGGCGCGUAAAGCUCUGUCAGCGGGGAAGAAAGAAGACGGUACCCGACCAAGAAGCCCCGGCUAACUACGUGCCAGCAGCCGCGGUAAUACGUAGGGGGCGAGCGUUAUACGGAAUUACUGGGUGUAGAGGGAGCGUAGACGGCGAAGUAAGCCUGAAGUGGAAGCCCGCCGCCCAACCGCGGAACUGCUUUGGGAACUGUUUUGCUUGAGUAUGGGAGGGGUAAGCGGAAUUCCUGGUGUAGCGGUGAAAUGCGUAGAUAUCAGGAGGAACACCGGUGGCGAAGGCGGCUUACUGGACCAUGACUGACGUUGAGGCUCGAAAGCGUGGGGAGCGAAC